UAUUGUUAUGGUAUUAAAAUUCUAAAUUAUAAGACGUAUAUGGAAUUUAAAGAGCAACCAGCCGAGAAAUUUUAAAACUGGCUAAGGCCAGGUUAAGCUAUUAUUUUUGAAGGGGCUAACAAAGUGCCAGCAGUCGCGGUCAUACUUUGCACUUCAAUUAAUUUAAAAAAUGGAGAAAUUAUAAUUUAAAAUAUUCUAUGGUGAAAUAUAAUUAAUACAUAUGCCUACAUUAUAAAAAAUAACAUACAAAUAUUGAUGAUAAACAAGGAUUAGAUACCCUUUUAUUCAAUACACAAAUAAUAAUUCUUGAGGACUAAAACUUUAAAGUUAAAACUCAAAUAACAUGGCGGUAACACCAACAUUUAGGGGAACUUACUCGAUAAUUGAUAACCACCAAGUAAUACAACUUUUAGUUAAAUUUUGUAUGCCGCCGUCGUCAGAUAAUACAUAAUGUAUUGUCAGAAUAUUUAUAAAAUUAAAAGACAGGUCAAGGUGCAAACAAUCUAAAUGCCAGAGCGAGUUACAAUGGUUAAAAACCGCAGAUAAUUACUUAAAUAUAUAAUGUUUGAAGGUGGACUUAAAAGUAAUUUAUAUUAUUAUUAUUAAAUGAAUAUACUGGUGUUGUGUACAAAUCGCCCGUCACUCUGGAGUUAACUUCAGAUAAGUCGUAACAUAGUAGGUGUAGUGGAAACUGCACCU
rnacentral:ncRNA from 1 species